AACGAACGCUGGCGGCAUGCCUAACACAUGCAAGUCGAACGAGACCUUCGGGUCUAGUUGCGCACGGGUGCGUAACGCGUGGGAACCUUCCCUUAGGUUCGGAAUAACUCCCCGAAAGGGGUGCUAAUACCGGAUAAUUUCUUCGGACCAAAGAUUUAUCGCCUUUGGAUGGGCCCGCGUUGGAUUAGCUAGUUGGUAGGGUAAAAGCCUACCAAGGGGACGAUCCAUAGCUGGUCGGAGAGGAUGAUCAGCCACACUGGGACUGAGACCCGGCCCAGACUCCUACGGGAGGCAGCAGUGGGGAAUAUUGGACAAUGGGCGAAAGCCUGAUCCAGCAAUGCCGCGUGAGUGAUGAAGGCCUUAGGGUUGUAAAGCUCUUUUACCCGGGAUGAUAAUGACAGUACCGGGAGAAUAAGCGCCGGCUAACUCCGUG
rnacentral:rRNA from 1 species